UGGGGAAUCUUGGACAAUGGGGGCAACCCUGAUCCAGCCAUGCCGCGUGAGUGAUGAAGGCCUUAGGGUCGUAAAGCUCUUUCGCCUGUGAAGAUAAUGACGGUAGCAGGUAAAGAAACCCCGGCUAACUCCGUGCCAGCAGCCGCGGUAAUACGGAGGGGGUUAGCGUUGUUCGGAAUUACUGGGCGUAAAGCGCACGUAGGCGGACCAGAAAGUUGGGGGUGAAAUCCCGGGGCUCAACCCCGGAACUGCCUCCAAAACUAUUGGUCUAGAGUUCGAGAGAGGUGAGUGGAAUUCCAAGUGUAGAGGUGAAAUUCGUAGAUAUUUGGAGGAACACCAGUGGCGAAGGCGGCUCACUGGCUCGAUACUGACGCUGAGGUGCGAAAGUGUGGGGAGCAAACAGGAUUAGAUACCCUGGUAGUCCACACCGUAAAACGAUGAAUGCCAGUCGUCGGGUAGCAUGCUAUUCGGUGACACACCUAACGGAUUAAGCAUUCCGCCUGGGGAGUACGGUCGCAAGAUUAAAACUCAAAGGAAUUG
rnacentral:rRNA from 1 species